UACGUAGGGCGCAAGCGUUGUCCGGAAUUAUUGGGCGUAAAGAGCUCGUAGGCGGCUUGUCACGUCGGGUGUGAAAGCCCGGGGCUUAACCCCGAGUCUGCAUUCGAUACGGGCUAGCUAGAGUGUGGUAGGGGAGAUCGGAAUUCCUGGUGUAGCGGUGAAAUGCGCAGAUAUCAGGAGGAACACCGGUGGCGAAGGCGAGUCCCUGGACAAAACCUGACACUGAGGCACGAAAGCUAGGGGAGCAAACAGG
rnacentral:rRNA from 1 species